AACGCCUCGACCUGACUCGAUCUUCUUGAGUUCCAGCUCGGAGACGGUUCCCUUGGCGGCUAAAUACCCAGUGCCACCUUCGAGAAGAAGAUUCUGGGAAGAGAAGAAAGUCUGCCAUGGGAUCAGCUACAGGAUCAGGAUCAAAUGGACCUAUAGGACAUUUGUCCACUCCAGAGGCGUUCUUGAAUUAAAAUGUCUUUGAUAAAA